rnacentral:rRNA from 1 species
AGUCUGGUGCCAGCAGCCGCGGUAAUUCCAGCUCCAGUAGCGUAUACUAAAGUUGCUGCGGUUAAAAAGCUCGUAGUUGAAAGACAGGGGUGCGGUGGAAAGUGACUCUGCGAAGAAGCGGGGGAAGCGGAAGCAGCACCUCUUUAGCCGGGGAAGCAUGUCUGCACUUGACUGGGCGGGCGUUAGCCGAAACGGCGAUAUACCUUGAGGAAAAUAGAGUGUUCAAAGCAGGCGACAAGGGGGCGGCGGUGGCUUAACGGCUGCCGCUUAGCGCCCGACAUACGCCGUGAAUAAGUUAGCAUGGAAUAAGCGAAGAGGACUUUGGACCCGUACCGGGUUAGUAGCAAUUGGUAGAUGGGGCCGGAGUAAUGAUUAAUAGGGACAGAUGGGGGCAUUAGUAUUUCGUAGUCAGAGGUGAAAUUCAAGGAUUUACGAAAGACUAACUAGUGCGAAAGCAUUUGCCAAGGAUGUUUUCAUUAAUCAAGAACGAAAGUUUGGGGAUCGAAGACGAUCAGAUACCGUCGUAGUCCAAACCAUAAACUAUGCCGACUCGGGAUUGGGGUGAGCACGAGAGAAGGCCACGCCAGGACCGUAAGAGAAAUCACAAGUUAUUGGGUUCCGGGGGGAGUAUGGUCGCAAGCUGAAACUUAAAGGAAUUGACGGAAGGGCACCACCAGGAGUGGAGCUUGCGGCUUAAUUCAACCCAACACGGGAAAACUUACCAGGGCCAGACACGGGAAGGAUUGACAGAUUGAUAGCUCUUUCUUGAUUCCGUGAGUGGUGGUGCAUGGCCGUUCUUAGUUGGUGGAGUGAUUUGUCUGCUUAAUUGCGAUAACGAACGAGACCUUAGCCUUUAAAUAGUCAUCGGCACCGUCUGCAGGCAAAAUGAUGCCAGGGUAGACGUUGUACACGGGUCGCAAGGCCCGACGGAGGUGACUUCUUAGAGGGACAACCGGUGGAUAGCCGGAGGAAGCAUAAGGCAAUAACAGGUCUGUGAUGCCCUUAGAUGUUCUGGGCCGCACGCGCGCUACAAUGAUGAAGUCAACGAGUGAAGGAAACCGAGCCCGAUCGCAAGGUUGGGGGAGGACGAAGUGUAUCCUUGGCUGAAAAGUCUGGGUAAUCUCGAGAAACUUCAUCGUGCUGGGGAUUGACCUUUGCAAUUAUGGGUCAUGAACGAGGAAUUCCUAGUAAGCGUAAGUCAUCAUCUUACGUUGAUUACGUCCCUGCCCUUUGUACACACCGCCCGUCGCUCCUACCGAUCGAAUUGUUCGGCGAAAUCUCCG